AAAAAUAUCACUCUCUCACUGCACGGUCACGACACAAGCCUUCACUCUCUCCCUGCAAGGCGGCGGCGCUGCCAUCUCUCCUUAUCUCCCCGCCACAGCGUGGCCGCCGCCAUAUCUCCCCUCAUGGCUACUCCCAGCUGCCUCCCCUCCAUGGCGUGUCAAUCAACCCACACCCUUCUCUCACCGCCGCCUCCCAUCCCCCAUGGCGUCGCUCAUCCCGUCCACUCCCCGCCACGGCGUUGCCAACACAUCUGGCACGGCGAGCAGCGAGAUCCGACCGGGAGGCGCAGAAGGCCUCAUCGUUAUCCGUUCGCAGAAGUCCACAUAGCUGGCCCGUCCGGAUUUGGGCGAGAUGACCUCAGGCACGAGGUGUGGCUCGACGAGUUGGAGGGAUGGCCCCCUGGUCGUCAGGCCCGGUCUUCUACUUCAGCCGAGACGCGCCGUCCAUCUCCAUAGCGGGGACAUCCCAGGCAGCGGCGGAGUAGCCUCCAGGGAAAGCUGGACCGAGCACGAGCACGACAAGUAACUCGAGGCGCUGCAGCGGUGACCGAUGAGUGUCCCCUCCCAAUCCCAUCCCCCCUCUGUAACUAUAAGGGUUUCGUUCUGAUUCAUGUUGGUGACGGGGAAGUACACUUGCUCUUGCGCAUUUGGUCUGCUAAAUGUGAAGAUUUUUCUGGUUUACAUGCAUUAUCUGCUACCAGUUCGAGCAUAUACACAGUAUGACAUCCUAGCCCAAGAAUCUAGUUCAAGCGAUGCUGUAAUCUUAAAGAAUUGUACUCCCUCCGUAAACUAAUAUAAGAGCAUUUAGAUUACUAUUUUAGUUAUCUAAACACUCUUAUAUUAGUUUACAGAGGGAGUACUUGGUAUUACAAUAACUGAGUGUCUUACUGAAUUCCUUGAUCGAACUUGAAAUUUUGGUGUGUCUCAGAAUGAUGCUCCUUCUGAUGGACUGAAUGAUUUUACGGAAUUUAUUCUCAUGUCUGUGCAGUGGGAGUCUUGUACACGAAGAAGUACUACAAAUUGGCCAAGCACCAGUAUUGGAUGCGUCAUAUAUCGGACUGAUCAAACCCAACAGCCUCGUUCGGUUCAGGGGGAUGGUUCAGGACAUGCUCGGGGCGGGUUCUAUGCCGACUCUUUAAAGGAUGUGCUACCUGGAGGACAAAAAAGUUCACAGACUUCUCACCAUUCUCGAUGAUGUACCCAUGUGAUUCACAUCUCUGGGUGCGCCAUCUCUGCCAUUGCGUGCCUGUGCAUAGGCAGAAUUCUUGGAUACUGGAGUCUCCCCCUGGACCUGUCUUUCGCCAGAUGGCAAACUGGUUGACACCUGAAAAAAGAGAUAAAAGGAAGAGGGAUGGGGAUGGUGAUGUCAAUGUAAGCUCUUGGCAUGUUUGUUACAAUAAUGAUUCUCAACAGUUUUGAUGUCCACUAACCAUCAUUGUCAUCUAAUGCAUUGCUUGCUAUAGGUUUCAUUGUCA